UACGGAGGGGGCAAGCGUUGUCCGGAAUUAUUGGGCGUAAAGAGCUCGUAGGCGGCUUGUCACGUCGGGUGUGAAAGCCCGGGGCUUAACCCCGGGUCUGCAUUCGAUACGGGCAGGCUAGAGUGUGGUAGGGGAGAUCGGAAUUCCUGGUGUAGCGGUGAAAUGCGCAGAUAUCAGGAGGAACACCGGUGGCGAAGGCGGAUCUCUGGGCCAUUACUGACGCUGAGGAGCGAAAGCGUGGGGAGCGAACAGG
rnacentral:rRNA from 1 species